rnacentral:rRNA from 1 species
CUUUUAGCAGGGAAGAAGCGAGAGUGACGGUACCUGCAGAAAAAGCACCGGCUAACUACGUGCCAGCAGCCGCGGUAAUACGUAGGGUGCAAGCGUUAUCCGGAAUUAUUGGGCGUAAAGAGCUCGUAGGCGGUCUGUCGCGUCUGCUGUGAAAUCCCGAGGCUCAACCUCGGGCUUGCAGUGGGUACGGGCAGACUAGAGUGCGGUAGGGGAGAUUGGAAUUCCUGGUGUAGCGGUGGAAUGCGCAGAUAUCAGGAGGAACACCGAUGGCGAAGGCAGAUCUCUGGGCCGUAACUGACGCUGAGGAGCGAAAGGGUGGGGAGCAAACAGGCUUAGAUACCCUGGUAGUCCACCCCGUAAACGUUGGGAACUAGUUGUGGGGUCCUUUCCACGGAUUCCGUGACGCAGCUAACGCAUUAAGUUCCCCGCCUGGGGAGUACGGCCGCAAGGCUAAAACUCAAAGGAAUUGACGGGGACCCGCACAAGCGGCGGAGCAUGCGGAUUAAUUCGAUGCAACGCGAAGAACCUUACCAAGGCUUGACAUACACGAGAACGGGCCAGAAAUGGUCAACUCUUUGGACACUCGUGAACAGGUGGUGCAUGGUUGUCGUCAGCUCGUGUCGUGAGAUGUUGGGUUAAGUCCCGCAACGAGCGCAACCCUCGUUCUAUGUUGCCAGCACGUAAUGGUGGGAACUCAUGGGAUACUGCCGGGGUCAACUCGGAGGAAGGUGGGGAUGACG